rnacentral:rRNA from 1 species
AGAUACCCCUGUAGUCCCAGCCGUAAACUAUGCGCGUUAGGUGUAUCGGUGACCACGAGUUACCGAGGUGCCGAAGGGAAACCGUGAAACGUGCCGCCUGGGAAGUACGGUCGCAAGGCUGAAACUUAAAGGAAUUGGCGGGGAGCACCACAACAGGUGGAGCCUGCGGUUUAAUUGGACUCAACGCCGGGAAGCUCACCGGAUAGGACAGCAGAAUGAUUGCCGGGCUGAAGACCCUGCAUGACUAGCUG